UUAAUCAUGGAGCAAUGGUGGUAUCUAUUCUAUAGUUUAUUUUGGAAUGGAUUUCUAAGUAGUCUACUAAUGAUUUGGGUUUUAAUUUUGUCAGGAGGGAGGUCCUAGAGGCAGUAAGUCACUUGUUUACUCCAUGAUGACAAUAGCAAGCAGAUCGCGGUGGUGCCUAUGGAUGCUACAACAAGAAAGAUAAAAAGUUCUUUUGGAUGGAUGCAGCUACAUAUUUUGUUUUGUAUUUUCUCCAAAAGAGAAAUUUGCAAGUGAACUUAAAAUUGUGAAACCAACAUGUGGUUGUACUAGCUAGUAUCUCUGAGCUUUCACAAGCCAAACUUAGUGUUGUUGCUGCUUAUUUUGAUCUUUAUUACAACAAAAGCAAACUUGUGAACUUUAUGUAUGAAUGCAGUACAAUUGUUAUUGUCAUGAAUGAAAACAUGAGCUAUGUCAA